rnacentral:RNase_P_RNA from 1 species
UGAGUCGGCCGGGCGGUCGCGGAGAGAUCCGAGGAAAGUCCGGACUCCUGAGAGCACGGUGGUGGGUAACACCCACCUGGGGCGACCCACGGGCCAGUGCCACAGAAAACAAACCGCCUUGGUGACAAGGUAAGGGUGAAAAGGUGGUGUAAGGGACCACCGCGUCCCGUGUGAACGGGAUGGCACGGUAAACCCCACCGGGAGCAAGACCAAGAAGACCCCUGAGGUCGCGUCGGCGUUUGAGGGCUGCUCGCCCGAGGCCGACGGGUAGGUCGCACGGCCAGGUCGGUCGUCACACGAGGACGCGCGAGCGUUGUCGCCUGGCGAGACCACUGGUCGAAGGUUCAUGGCGACAUGGAUCGCAGAUGGAUGACCGCCGCUCACACGAGCACAGAAUCCGGCUUAUAGGCCGACUCAUCCC